CAAGCAUCAAAUUAAAUAAUAACAUAAUAAAAAUAAUUCAAAUGUAUAUACUUGAAAUAAACUUCAACAAAAAAAAUAUAAUUUGCGUAGUACUAUACCCAUACUAAUAAAGCACUACUAUUUCAAGAAGUUCACAAGCAAUGAACUUUACAAAACCGAAUGUAUUUCAUCAAAUAAUAAUAAAUUGAAAAUUAAAUUUUGAACAUUAUUUAGGUCAAUAAAAAUUAUCUAGGCCAAAUUAAAUUUUGAACUUUGGGAAUCCUUGAGCAGUACCUUCUCCCCAACCAUGUAAGCAACAUCACAGACCUUCCUAUUGGCAUAACUCUUCUGUCUAGAGUGCACUAUGCGAAGCCGUUCCUGAAUCAUCUUAACCUUAUCCAAAGCAUCCCGGACCAAGUCAGUACCCAUUAGCCAACGCCUCUAAGUCAGAAUCCGGGCUAGAAACGACGCAUGCAUCCGUCGUCCGCUUGCCGACCGGCAGUAGGGGCCACAAUAUCAAUAACAAUAAACGUCACAAUUGUUCAAAAAGUAUGCAUCAUUCACGUCAAUAGGUCAAAUUGAUUUGUGGCCACAUUUUUAAUUGCAUCACUCGCAUUUUCCUGCACAUUCAAAAUGAAAUUAAAAAUUAGAAAAAAAAACCUAUAUAUAGUAUGCAUUGGUUAUAGCAACAUGUCUUACUAAUAACUAAUGAGGUUUAUUUCACUACUAAAACAUAACUAAGUCAAACACAAAAAAAGAGGUGCAAGCUAAGGAGAAGCAAAGUUGUGAAUUAAUAACUUGCUUACAUCCCAAAAUCACAGAAUGCUUUGCCUCGAUUUCGAUAUGAGCACAUGCAUAAUAAUAGUGAGAUUUGGAAAAGACAAGGAUUUCAACGUAUCCUACACUUGAAAGAGGUCAAAGAAUAUUCUAAUUCCCUUCAAAAGGUUUAGUACUUUGUGUAAGGGCAUAUUAUACCAAUUAUAUUCGUGAAAUAUAUUUUCCUUCCAUUCAUUCAUAACUCCUGUUAUUAUGUAAUGGAAUCAUCAAAAGCAAAUAGUUUAGAAAAACAUGGUCUUAUAAGUUUAGAGUGUGAAAUAUAAAUAUCUUUUCAAGACUCGGAGCAUGAGUUGAGCCAGAAGAAUGUGAUAGAUUUUGGCCACUCAUUCCUCGUACACUACUUGCAUCAACGGGUGAAGGAAGAUUAGAUCCGGCACACCCUUGUAUAUCAUGAAUAUUUAGUCCAGGGUUAUUUUGUACCAUUUGAACAAAAAAAUAUCGCAUUUCUUCUCUCAUUAUUUCCUUCAUUUCUUCCUUCAAAGAAGUUAUUUCAUUAGCAUGCUUUUGUUGAAGCUUGCUGAUUUCCUCAUCUUUUUUCAGAGAUCUUAUCGUCACCGAUCUACCAUAGCAUCUAACCGGACCAGGUUGCUCGUUUCCAAACACAAUCUUAAAUGCAUCAUCUGCUGUUUCUUGAAACUUUGACGAUUUUGAAGUUCAGACCGUUAAAAAGAAAUAUUACUGAAUAUCACUUAGUGGAUAUGCUAUAGAAAGUAAAAAAUAAUAACAUUUGAAUACAGAAAUGGAGCAGCUAUGCCGAAUAUUGUGUAGAAAUACAGUUGAAAAAUGCAAAAAUCCAGAAAGGCAGUGCAAAAAUAUAGAAGCACAUAGCAUACUGUGCUAGUGUGCUUAAUAGAACAAGUAAAGUUUCAACUGAACCUUUUGGAAUGUAAUACAUAUACUGAUUAGAGAAGUGGAAAUCAGUCUCCUUUGGUACCAGGUGACAGAUUUUCAGCUCCUCUGUGAUUUGAAAUUACCAUUACAUGACAGAAUUCUCAUAAUUUAUUGCUUAGUUAAUUCACUGCUUGUUACUUCUUUUCACAUCACUUAUUUUGCUAUUCUGGAAUCCGUAUGUAGCGAGUCCAUGCAUUAUAACUUCUGAUGGCUUUGUUGUAACCUAUGAAUGGUAAGAGACAUAACAACUUUAAGGAGUGUUUGAUUAUAGUAGUAUGACAUAUUUGUGGUAUAGAGGGAGUAAGUUUAUUUGGACUGACAAAAAGAAGAAACACGAACUAACCUAAUCCUUGAAAGAUUGAAUCGAUGUCUUGCCAAAAAUAGGAAAAUCUUGAUAAUACCAGUAGAUGACAGCUUAGUCAUGCUACGGAACUUAACUUCUUCCUCCUAGUAAAAUCUUUUUUCUUCUUCCACCUGAUAAAUAUAGAUAAUUUUCAGACAUGACCAACUUCAACUCAGUUCUGUACAAGUCCACACAUGUGAAUUGUGACCCCCACCUUCUAAAUGACCAUCCAAAAUAGCAGGAAUUCUCUUAACUUAAACACAAAUUUCACAUGUAGGUGUCAUAUGUGGAAGGGUAAAAAUUAGCUGAAGUAAUACUUACUUUGUCAAACACUAAUCACGUGGUAGAAAUUAUCUAAAAUAUGUUUUGACCAGAUCUGAUCAACUCUUUCUCGGCAACUUCACAGCCAACUUUCAGUAGCACAGAAAUAAAUCUCACAAUCUGCAAUUAAAAAGAAUAUCGAUAAGAACACAAAGAUAAAGGCUGACCUGAGAUUGUCAACUUAAUAAUUUAGCAAAGCUGCAAAGAUAAUUGGACAUAUAUGCUAAGAUUCUCUACUCAGCUUCUAUUUCACAUACUAAAAGCUGAUAAGAGAAGAUCAUAUUACGAAGUAUAUAACUUUGGAUAUCUUUUUGGCAUAACAUUAUUCAAAUAUAAAAUGAUCAAAUUGUAGAACAAUUGAAAGAUCAGCUCAUUGAAAUAGUAUAAUUUCUUAGUUUAAUUAUACGCCCUUAGUUGUAUAAAUAAGUAAAAAAAAAUGAUCUCAUGCUGCGUCUUCAAAAUCAAACUCAUCUUCUGAUAUCAAGGAAUAUUGAUUAAUACUCGAGCACAUAAAGGAGAAAAGCUCAUAGAAACAGAAAUACCUCUACGAAAUUUUAUAGUAUUAGAAAUUUAAUACGUCUAUCAAGUGAUUGCAAAUCAGAACAAACCAAAAGAAGAACUAAGGAAAUAGAAUUUUACACCCCAAGAAAACUCAAAUAUUAACUCUCAAACAAGAAUUCUGGUCAAGCGAUUUGCGUGUGACUAUCAUCUCUGACAAGGCUAUCCAAAAAUAGUUGACGAUUGAGUUUACUGGAGGUCGAACGGUGUUGUUGUUACAUAUUAUGUUACCUCAAAGUAUAGUGGAUAGCAGUUAAAGCUAGCUGCCUUAACUGAUUAGGGUAGGAAAACAAAACUUAGCAGAUGCCUCCCUUAAUCAUAAAAGAGUAAGAUAGCCCAUUUUGAGCUAAGAAGUUAUAAGAAUUGAGAACAAUACCAGUUUUGACUUAUGAGCUGUGAGAUUGUCAUAUUAGCUUAUAUAUAUGAUACUUUGAGUUUCACUACACUUACUUGAUAGCAUGCAUGUCUCUUUAAAAGUUAUUUUUGAGGGACCAGCCCCAAAAUAAAAUAUUAAUUCAAAGAAAGAAAAUAACAAGUUGCAAUGGCAACUUGUUUGCGAUAAGGGCGGCUAAAAUAAAGUUGCAAGUUGCAACAAGACCAAAACAGAAAUAAUUCUGGACGAUGCAAAUUGCAAAGAACAAAGCAUUUUUAUUGGUUGAAAGCUUGACAAAUUUUGCUAUAAAUAACAGGCUUCAUUCCUCAUUUUAAACACACCAAAAUAAGAAAGAAGUAAUAGAAGUUAGAGAGAGUAAUCCACAUAUUGCAGUCUAUGAGAUAAAUAGUGAGUGUGAGUAAUAUUGUAGUGAUGUGUUUUUAAUAAAGAGUAUUAUUUCUUUCAGAAUUGUAGUAGUCUCUUGAUACUACUAAGUUGUAAUAUUAUAGUGGUAAUAU
rnacentral:lncRNA from 1 species